UACGGGGGGUGCGAGCGUUGUCCGGAAUCACUGGGCGUAAAGGGCGCGUAGGUGGUUUGAUAAGGGUGUGGUGAAAGUCCGGAGCUCAACUCCGGAUCUGCCGUGCCGACUGUCAAACUCGAGGGCUGUAGAGGCAGACGGAAUUCCGGGUGUAGCGGUGGAAUGCGUAGAGAUCCGGAGGAAGACCGGUGGCGAAGGCGGUCUGCUGGGCAUUUUCUGACACUGAGGCGCGACAGCGUGGGGAGCAAACAGG
rnacentral:rRNA from 1 species